rnacentral:rRNA from 1 species
AUGAAGCAGAAGGCCAAGCGGCAGUCCACAGAAAAGCAGGCCUUCAUCGUCCAAGAGACCCACAAAUUAGAAGCCGCUGGGGUCAUUCGCGAGGUCCGAUAUCCGGAUUGGUUGGCCAACCCAGUCGUUGUGCCAAAGAAGGGAGGGAAGGAGCGCAUGUGUGUCGACUUCACCAACCUCAACAAAGCAUGCCCGCAAGAUCCGUUCCCGCUCCCCCGCAUCGACCAGAUCGUCGAUUCCACUGCGGAAUGCAGCCUGUUAUGCUUCUUGGAUGCCUUCUCUGGGUAUCACCAGAUCAAGAUGGCGAUAGAAGACGUCGAGAAGACAGCCUUCCUAACCCCGUGUGGGGUGUACUGCUACACAUGCAUGCCAUUCGGGCUGCAUAACGCAGGGGCGACCUUUCAGCGGCUGAUGCACAUCACCUUGGGCCCGCAGCUCGGGAAGAAUGUUGAAGCUUACGUCGAUGACAUUGUGGUAAAGUCUCGGGAGGCCAGGACCUUGAUACAAGACCUGGAGGAAACCUUUGCGAGCCUCAACGCGGUGAACCUACGGCUCAACCUAGAGAAAUGUGUGUUCGGAGUCCCCUCGGGCAAGCUCUUGGGUUUCCUCGUGUCCCACCGAAGCAUCGAGGCUAACCCGGAGAAGGUCAAGGCGGUGGAAGACAUGAGCCCGCCAAAGACCCUCAGAGAAAUGCAGAAACUCAUGGGGCGUGUGACCGCGCUAGGGCGCUUCAUCUCCAAGUUGGGGGAAUGA